rnacentral:rRNA from 1 species
GCGACCCCAGGUCAGGCGGGACUACCCGCUGAAUUUAAGCAUAUAAAUAAGCGGAGGAGAAGAAACUUACAAGAUUCCCCUAGUAACGGC